rnacentral:sRNA from 1 species
CCAGACCAUCCUGAAUCCUCUGGACUGUUUCCCCUGUAUGUUUCCCUGGAAGCUUCAGGCAGUGCCUCAUAAGCCAAUGGAAUCUGUUGCUAAUAGCCACAGCAUAUCCCUUGCAUAAUAUGACCUCUAGAUUACUGCGCCUUAAUUGCUUCCCAGCUCUUCUAUGCUUUGGUUUAGAAAAAUGAAGUACUGACUUACGGGUGAAGAAAGUAUUCAAACAGUUGACAUAUUUAUUUCAGUCAAGAAACAGUUCAGAGGGAGAUACAAACAAGUAACUUAGUUACAAUGUGAUAGUUAUGAUGAGAGGAAGUACUGGGUGCUAAACAAUUACAUGAGAGACAGCUCAUGGAUGUAUGUUGUGUUCACAGCGAAGGUACUCCCUUCAGCCUGUCCCAGAAAGGAGGAUUCCAAACCGAUACUUAGGCCAGCCCAGCCCCUUUACACACCCACACCUCCUCAGACCAGGGGAGGUAACUCCAGGACUAUCUCAGGUGGAAUAUGCACUUCGCAGACACAAACUAAUGUCUCUGAUCCAGAAGGAAGCUCAAGGGCAGAGUGGGACAGACCAGACAGUGGUUGUGCUCUCCAACCCUACAUACUACAUGAGCAACGAUAUUCCC